rnacentral:rRNA from 1 species
AUUGAACGCUGGCGGCAGGCCUAACACAUGCAAGUCGAACGAGUGGCGGACGGGUGAGUAAUGUCUGGGAACCUGCCCGAUGGAGGGGGAUAACUACUGGAAACGGUAGCUAAUACCGCAUACUAUCGGAUGUGCCCAGAUGGGAUUAGCUAGUUGGUGGGGUAACGGCUCACCAAGCCAACGAUCCCUAGCUGGUCUGAGAGGAUGACCAGCCACACUGGGACUGAGACACGGCCCAGACUCCUACGGUAGGCAGCAGUGGGGAAUAUUGGACAAUGGGGGCAACCCUGACCCAGCCAUGCCGCGUGAAUGAUGAAGGCCUUCGGGUUGUAAAGUGCUUUCGGCAGAGAAGCGUUAACUACAGAAGAAGCACCGGCUAACUCCGUGCCAGCAGCCGCGGUAAUAC